GCCCACGUAGCUCAGAGGUAGAGCAACGCCUUGGUAAGGCGUAGGUCGGCGGUUCAAUUCCGCCCGUGGGCU
rnacentral:tRNA from 3 species